ACGGAGUACUUCGGUACUUAGUGGCGGACGGGUGAGUAACGCGUGAGAAUCUGCCUCCAGGUUCGGGACAACCACUGGAAACGGUGGCUAAUACCGAAUGUGCAGUAAUGUGAAAUAUUUAUAGCCUGGAGAUGAGCUCGCGUCUGAUUAGCUAGUAGGUGUGGUAAUAGCGCACCUAGGCGACGAUCAGUAGCUGGUCUGAGAGGAUGAUCAGCCACACUGGGACUGAGACACGGCCCAGACUCCUACGGGAGGCAGCAGUGGGGAAUUUUCCGCAAUGGGCGAAAGCCUGACGGAGCAAUACCGCGUGAGGGAGGAAGGCUCUUGGGUUGUAAACCUCUUUUCUCAAGGAAGAAAAAAAUGACGGUACUUGAGGAAUAAGCAUCGGCUAACUCCGUGCCAGCAGCCGCGGUAAUACGGAGGAUGCAAGCGUUAUCCGGAAUGAUUGGGCGUAAAGCGUCCGCAGGUGGCUAUGUAAGUCUGCUGUUAAAGAGUCUGGCUCAACCAGAUAAAGGCAGUGGAAACUACAUGGCUAGAGUGCGUUCGGGGCAGAGGGAAUUCCGGGUGUAGCGGUGAAAUGCGUAGAGAUCAGGAAGAACACCGGUGGCGAAAGCGCUCUGCUGGACCUAAACUGACACUGAGGGACGAAAGCUAGGGGAGCGAAUGGGAUUAGAUACCCCAGUAGUCCUAGCCGUAAACGAUGGAUACUAGGCGUUGCCCGUAUCGACCCGGGCAGUGUCGUAGCU
rnacentral:rRNA from 1 species